ACACAAUGUGAUAGAAGAAUAAUCCUUUUAUUCAUUUAUAGUCAAAAUUAUAAAUUUGCCCUUAGAUCUGUACAGGAAUGUGUCAGCCAAUCUGGCAUCUAGGGCACACAUCUAACAUCUUCUUCUUCGAAGCUUAACUCAUUACGAUCACUCUAUAUAGCUACCAUAGCCUUUUUCUUGUACUUUUUUGGGCCCUUCUUAAGUUGUGGACAUUCAGACCUAAAGUGCCUUGACUUUUUAUAUUCAUAACAAACAAGGGGUUGCUCCUUAUCUUUCUCCUUGCUAUGCUUCCCUUUUGUAGGUGGCCUCUUCCUCAUCCCUUAUUUUCUUUUCUUCAUAAAUCUUUUGAACUUUCAAGUGAUGAGGCCUAUUUCUUCAUCUUGCUCUUUAUUUUCUGUUUCAUCGAAUUUCUCAUCGAGUUGAGUAGUGGAUUUAAGGGCGAUUGUCCUCUUCUUCUUAACAUCUUCUUCUUGAUAUUGUUUCAUGCUUAGCUCGUGUAUCAUUAGCAAUCUUAGAAGCUCUUCCAAGAGUAAGGCAUUCAGAUCUUUGGCUUCUUAGAUUGCGAUCACUUUAGCCUCCCAAGUCCUUGAUAAAGACCUAAGAAUCUUUCUCACAAGAUCN
rnacentral:lncRNA from 1 species